rnacentral:rRNA from 1 species
GACGAACGCUGGCGGCGUGCUUAACACAUGCAAGUCGAACGGAAAGGCCCUGCUUUUGUGGGGUGCUCGAGAGGCGAACGGGUGAGUAACACGUGAGUAACCUGCCCUUGACUUUGGGAUAACUUCAGGAAACUGGGGCUAAUACCGGAUAGGAGCUCCUGCUGCAUGGUGGGGGUUGGAAAGUUUCGGCGGUUGGGGAUGGACUCGCGGCUUAUCAGCUUGUUGGUGGGGUAGUGGCUUACCAAGGCUUUGACGGGUAGCCGGCCUGAGAGGGUGACCGGCCACAUUGGGACUGAGAUACGGCCCAGAAGCCUACGGGAGGCAGCAGUGGGGAAUAUUGCACAAUGGGCGGAAGCCUGAUGCAGCAACGCCGCGUGCGGGAUGACGGCCUUCGGGUUGUAAACCGCUUUCGCCUGUGACGAAGCGUGAGUGACGGUAAUGGGUAAAGAAGCACCGGCUAACUACGUG